rnacentral:rRNA from 1 species
CCCUUAGAUGUUCUGGACCGCACGCGCGCUACAAUGAUGAAUUCAACGAGUUUAUAACCUUGGUUGAAAAGCCUGGGUAAUCUUUUGAACUUUCGUCGUGAUGGGGCUAGACCCUUGCAAUUAUUGGUCUCCAACGAGGAAUUCCUAGUAAACGCAAGUCAUCAGCUUGCAUUGAUUACGUCCCUGCCCUUUGUACACAUUGCCCGUCGCACCUACCGAUUGAAUGGUCCGGUGAAAUCUUCGGAUUGAGACUUUGUUUUCUUCACGGAAAACGCUGUUUUAAAAAGUUGAUUAAACCUUACCAUUUAGAGGAAGGUGAAGUCGUAACA